rnacentral:rRNA from 1 species
AUUGAACGCUGGCGGCAUGCUUUACACAUGCAAGUCGAACGGUAACAGGCCGCAAGGUGCUGACGAGUGGCGAACGGGUGAGUAAUGCAUCGGAACGUGCCCAGUCGUGGGGGAUAACGCAGCGAAAGCUGCGCUAAUACCGCAUACGAUCUAUGGAUGAAAGCGGGGGAUCGCAAGACCUCGCGCGAUUGGAGCGGCCGAUAUCAGAUUAGGUAGUUGGUGGGGUAAAGGCUCACCAAGCCAACGAUCUGUAGCUGGUCUGAGAGGACGACCAGCCACACUGGAACUGAGACACGGUCCAGACUCCUACGGGAGGCAGCAGUGGGGAAUUUUGGACAAUGGACGCAAGUCUGAUCCAGCCAUUCCGCGUGCAGGAUGAAGGCCCUCGGGUUAUAAACUGCUUUUGUACGGAACGAAAAGGUCUCUCUUAAUACGGGGGGCUCAUGACGGUACCGUAAGAAUAAGCACCGGCUAACUACGUG